rnacentral:tRNA from 1 species
CCCGCAUAGCUCAGUUGACAGAGCGUUGGACUACCCCUCCAAAGGUCGCCGGUUUGAAUCCGGCUGUGGGCA